UAUAUCAAAAAAAACAGGAAUGCAGUCUCACGGUUCAACACCGCACAAAAUUAACACCGACAACAACAACGGAUUUUCGCGGAUCAGACUUAACACAGAGAAAGAGAGAAACAGAAGAACAAAAAGGAAGAUCUGGUCGCACCCACAGGCGGAAUCAAAACUCCUCUGAAAGACGCCUUCACGACACCGCGGAACAGCCGCCACAGAUCCAAGCGACUACCACCCCUGCGCAGCAAUCUCAACACCAUCCAGCCUUUGACAACUGCAGAGCCACAAACGACAACCAACGUCGAUCAUCUCUAUCAUCGCCACAGCCGCAUCCUUAA